rnacentral:rRNA from 1 species
AGCGAACGCUGGCGGCAGGCCUAACACAUGCAAGUCGAACGAAGUCUUCGGACUUAGUGGCGGACGGGUGAGUAACACGUGGGAACGUACCUUUUGGUUCGGAACAACUCAGGGAAACUUGAGCUAAUACCGGAUGAGCCCUUAGGGGGAAAGAUUUAUCGCCGAAAGAGCGGCCCGCGUUGGAUUAGCUAGUUGGUGAGGUAAAGGCUCACCAAGGCUACGAUCUAUAGCUGGUCCGAGAGGAUGAUCAGCCACACUGGGACUGAGACACGGCCCAGACUCCUACGGGAGGCAGCAGUGGGGAAUCUUGCGCAAUGGGCGAAAGCCUGACGCAGCCAUGCCGCGUGAAUGAUGAAGGUCUUAGGAUUGUAAAGUUCUUUUACCAGGGACGAUAAUGACGGUACCUGGAGAAAAAGCCCCGGCUAACUUCGUGCCAGCCGCCGCAGUAAUAC